UUUUUUUUUUUUUUUUUUUUUUUUUUUUUACCUCUUUGCGUUUUAGACUGACACCCAUGGCAUAUGGAGCUUCCUAGGCUAGAGGUCCAAUCAGAUCUGUAACCAUCAUCCUAUGUCACAGCCAAGCAAUGCCAAAUCCUAGCCCAGUCUGUGACCUACACCACAGCUCCCAGCAAUGCUGGAGACUUACCCCACUGAGUGAGGCCAGGGAUCAAACCUGCAUUUCAUGGAUGCCAGUCAGGUUUGUUAACUGUUGAGCCAUGUUGGGAACUCCUGUUUCCAUCCAUUUUGAACAUACUAUAAGCUGGGAAAUGAUCAAUAUCACUCUUUAGCUUACUAAAGAAUUGGGUAUAUUCUCUAAAACAUUAGCAACGUAAGUCUAUAGAAAUGAACAUUGCACAUGGAAGAUAGUAUCAUAAGAAAUGGUGCUGAGAGAACAGAACAGUUACAUAUAAAAGAAUGAAAUCAGAACAUUCUCUAACAUCAUAUACUAAAAUACACUAAAAUUUGAUUACAGACCUUGAUGUAAGACCAUACACUAUAAAACACUUAGAGGAAAACGUACACAGAACACUCUUUGUCAUAAAUUGCAGUAGUAUCUUCUUUGGUCCACUUCCUAAUAAUAAAAAUAAAAACAAAAAUAAAUGGGAUCUAAUUAAACUGAAAAGAAUUCACAGCAAAGGAAACUAUUAAAUAAUGAAAAGAUAAACCACAGAAUGGGAGAAAAUCUUUGCAAAAGUUGCAGCUGGAAAAGGCCUAUUUCCAAUACAUAUAAACAACUCAUAGAACUCAACAAUUAAAAAAAACAUCCAACCAAAAAAUGGGCGGGAGACUUAAACUGACAUGUCUCCAAAGAAGACAUACAAACGACUGGAAGGUUCAUGAAAAGAUGUUCAACAUCACUAAUUUUUAGAGAAAUGCAAAUCAAAACUACAAUAAGGUAUCACCUCAUACCAGUCAAUAUGGGCAUCAUUAACAUGUCAGUAAAUAUCAAAUGAUGGAGAGGGAGUGGAGAAAAGGGAACCCUCCUUCAUUGUCAGUGGGAAUGUAAAUUGGUACAACCACUAUGGAAAACAGUAUGGAGGUUCCUUCAAACCUGAACAUAGAACUGCCAUAUGAUCCAGAAACCCCACUCCUUGGAAUAUAUCCAGAGAAAAUCAUAAUUCAAAAGGACACAUGAGAGUCCCCCUUGUGGCUCAAAAGGUUAAAAACUUGACAUAGCAUCUGCAAGGAUAUAGGUUGGAUUCUUGGCCUUGCUCAUUGGGUUAAUGAUCCAGCAUCACAGCAAGCUGAGGAGCAUAUGCAGCUCAAAUCCAGUGUUACCGUGGCUGUGGCUGAGGCCAAUAGCUGUGGCAAUGUUAUGAUUCCUGACUUGGGAAUUUACAUAUGCCAUGGGUGUGGCCAUAAAAAGAAAUAAAGGAUACACGCCCCCUGAUGUCCACUCCAUCACUAUUUAUUAUAGUCAUAACAUAGAAGAAAACUAAAUGUCCAUCAACUAAGUAAUAAAGAAAACGAGAUACAUAUAUACAAUGUUAUAUUACUCAGCCAUAAAAAAUGUCAUUUGAGGCAGCAUGGAUGGAGCCAAAGAUUAUUAUACUAGAUGAAGUAUGCCAGCCAGAGCAAGAUGAAUAUCAAGAGAUCACUAAUAUAUGGUCUCUAAUAAUAAUGAUAUAAAAGAACUUAUUUACAAAACAGAAUCAGACUCACAGAUUUCAAAAUCAAACUUACGGUAACCAAAGUGGAGAUACAGGGGAGAGGGAAAAAUUAGGAGUUUUGGAUUAAAGUGUACACACUAAUAGUGAUCUACUAUAUAGCACAGGGAACUUUCCUCAACAUUCUAUAACCUAGAUGGGAAAAUAAUCUGAAAAAGUGUGGAGAUAUAUAUAUAUUUUUAAAAGGCAUAAAAAUAAAAAAAAAUUAAAAAUUAAAAAAACAUAGAAAAGAAUUUCAGUAGCAAUCUGAAGAACCAAGUAGACAAGUUGUUGCAAAAAUGUCAAAAUCCUCAAAUAAUACACAUAUUAAGCUUAAUAUGAGAACAAAUGAAGAUAGGUAUAAACAGAUAUAUAGACACAUCUACACAGAGAGAGAAAUAGACAAUGUCAAAUGGGGAGUAUAUAUGAGUGUAUGUUUAAAUUUGUAUAUGUGUGUGUAUAUUUUCAGAACAUAAUUUACAAAAUGUAUGUUGUAUAUUUUAGGCUAAGUGCUGAUUUUUCUCUCAAUAACUUCCUCUAUCUAUAGAAAAAAAGGAAUUUUAUUGUCAAAGUCUUAAGUAUAAAUUGCUUAUUUUGGCCUACACUAUCUAUUGGAUAUACAGAGCACUAUAUUUAAAAAAAAUUCAAAAAAGUGUCAAUAGUCCAUCCAAAUUUAUGUUCAAUUUUUUUUUUCUUUUCAGGGCCACACCCAAGGCAGAAAGAUGUUCCCAGGCUAGGGGCUGAAUUGGAGUUAGAGCCACUGGCUAAGCCACAGCCACAGCAAUGCAGGUUCCCAGCUGCAUCUGCAACCUACACCACAGAUCAAGGCAACGCCAGAUCCUUAACCCACUGAACAAGGCCAGGGAUAAAAUCUGAGUCUUCAUAUAUGUUAUUCUGAUUCAUUUCCCCUGAGCCAUGAAGGAACUCCCCAAUUUUCCCUUCCAUUUUGACAGUUUUAGUAUGGCUAUUAUUGUAUAGAUCCUGUAAAUAUUUAGUAAAAUAAAGGAAUUAAAAAAUAAGAUGUCAAAGUAUAGCAAGUGGUUGAGGUUAGAAUGCCAUGGAUUUAAAGCCCAUAUAUGACCAUUUCUCCCCUUAAUACCUUUUGGGAGAUCAUUGAACUCACUAAGCCUUAGUUCUAAAGUCUCAAAAAAGGACAGGCAAUAAAACAUCUUUAAAAAUAUCAUGGGGAGGAAUUGCCAUUGCAACACAGUGGAAAUGAAUCUGACUAGGAUCCAUGAGGAUGUGGGUUCAAUCCCUGGAGUUGCUCAGUGGGUCACGGAUUAAGCAUUGCCUUGGGCUGUGGUGUAGGUUGCAGACAAGGCUCCAUUCCUUCUAUCUGUAGAUGUGGUGUAGGUCUGCAGCUACAUCUCUUAUUAUACGUCUAGCCUGUUGACUUGUAUAUGCUGCAGAUGCAGCCCUAAAAAUAAAGAAAAAGAAAAAAAAAUUAAAAACAACUAUUAUAGGGGAGUUUCCAUUAUGGCUCAGUUGUAAUGAAACUUACUAGUAUUUCUGAGGAUGUGAGUGUGAUCCUUGGCCUUCCUCAGUGGGUUAGAGUCCAGGGUUCCUGUGAGUUGUAGUAUAAGUCACAGAUGAGGCUGGGAUCUGGAGUUGCUGUGGCUGUGGCAUAGGCUGACAGCUGCAGCUCCAAUUCAACUCCAAGCCUGGGAAUUUCCACAUACUCACAUACUGCAGGUGUAGCUUUAACAAGAAGAAAAAGUAUUAUGUAUAUUAAUCUAAAACAUUAGCUCAUUUUUUUCUCAUAAAAGCCUAAGUUAACAUUUAAAAAGUGAAGGCUAUGAUUAAUAUACAUGCUUGUCAGUAUUUUGAGGAGUCUAGCUUUUGGCCAAAUAUCUAUGUGUGGUCUUUCAGGAUGAUCAUUGACCAUUACAGGAUUUUUCUUGGCAGAACUCACAGGGAAAAGUUGUCAUCUCUGCACCAGAAUGACACACAGAUAAUGCUUUGCAGUCUCUCUAAAAGCUUGAGUCAAUGGCCAUAUCUAUAUUUUGGCCCCAAUGUAUUUAUUUUUACAUCUCUUGUAAAUGAGAUCUUCAUCUAAAAGGACCUUUAUCAGGCUCUUUAUUCCCUUUAUUGAGGGAAGUGGAGAAAUCUUCAAGACAAUUUUCUCUACUUCUUCUACAUACUUUCAAAGGUCCUGCUCCAUCCUUCACUUCCUCUCUCUGGUCCAGGCCCAAAAUACUGCAAGAACAUUUUGUUUGGGUUCCCUGGGAAGAGCUAGGACCCCCACAUCUGUGCUGAUUCUUCUGACCUUUAAACAAUGCACAUAAAAAUAGAAUAGUCCAUUCAUGCUUUCUCCAUUUUAUAUCUUAUUUGUACCAUCACAGUAAAUGAUUAAAGACUUAACUCUAUUUUAAUUUUUGGCUCACUGCUAUUUAACAUCUGGCAUUUUAGCUUUCAAUCCAUCUCAGCCAUCUCAUUUUUCUCACUUGAACAUGACAAAUAUAAAUAAUUAUAUUUUACCAAGCCAAUGAUUGAGAUCUUGUCAUUUACACAGACCAAGGCAGACACAAAAUUAUCUGGGAGGUCCUUAAAAUAUAUGCUAAUAUACCUGAGAUCACAGAGAUCCAUGCAAAGAAAAUAUUCAGUGGUAAAAAUGCAUGUUUGUUCCCUAAUUAUAUUAUUUUAUUAAGUUAUUAUUUACACAUAUUUAUUGGUAAUAUUCUUCCUAGCUCAUCAAACCUUGUCUUCAUUCUCUAAUUGGGUCUCAUUUCAAUUGAGUCUCAGACACCUGUGCUCUAGAGACUGUUACCUUCUGGAAAUCACCCAUGGGCAACUGACCAAAACUCAGUCACAAGGAUAAUUUUCCCAGGAGAUUUAAAAGUGAUGAUACAGCUAUGCCAAUAACUUCAGACAAAUCAGAAAGUGGCCUAUUUUCACCCCCUAAAAAUUGUAUUUCAUCACAUGCAUAUGUUUUCAAAGCUUAUCUGCAUAAGUAAAUUUGGCUAAAUCCUCUUGAAGACCUUGAUAUGAAAAAAUUAACAAAAGAAAUAUUUGUUCCCUCAUAGAUUAAGAACAUAUGAUACUCACGAGUAAGUAAUCAUAUUCUGAUUACUAUUUUUGUUAAAGUCCUUCCAAUUUCCAUACUUUCCAGUCAUACUCUGUUUCUUCAUGAUAUUUUUGCUUUAGUUUGUAAUUUUAUUUUUGUUUUAGAAAUGUGCUUGUGUCACAAUUGAAAGUGUGCUUAGAGUAUCAACACGAUGGCCCAAAUUAUUUUAUCCUCUGAAACAAUUAAUAUUUUCACUAAAUGAAUAAACUGGCCCCACUAAAAGUAUAGGAGCAAGCACAAAGAAUUCUUAUCAAAUGUUUUAUAGUAGUUGCUAUAAUUUCUAGUUUCACACUC
rnacentral:lncRNA from 1 species